CCUCACCUAAUUUCUUUUUUCGUCUUCUCUCGCGGGAAACCCUAGCUGCAUUUUUCUUUCCUAAACCGUAUCUAACAUUUGCCUACUGCGAGUCUGCGACAGCGGUCAACAAAGUGAGCUCCGCUUGAGGGAAGGAGAUAGAUGAUGGAUGCAGCCGAGGAGAUCCCCCCAACUGGCCAGCCUCGAGAAGAAACCACAAGAGGAUGGCGAGCCCCAGAACAGCCAGCAGCAGUGGCCAAGGUUUUCGACGACGACAACCUCCUCUGGGAGAUCAUUGUCUGGGUUGGCUUACCCACCACCCUCGUCCGUGCAGCCCUUGUAUGCAAACGAUGGCUCGGCCACGCCUCCGACACCAAGUUCUUAAGCUGUUUCCGCAAUUUCCACCCACCGCGCCUCCUCGGCUACUACAUCACACAGGUGUCGGAUUUGUUGUUAGGGGUGCUAGAUGCUCCACGCUUUGUCCCCGUGCUGCCUCAGCCCCCAGAGCUCGCCGCCAUCAUGCGUCGCUUAGAGAGCUACAGCUUCGGUACUAAGGAUAUCUGGGACUGCCGGAAUGGCAGCCUCUACACCCAUCGCGUGGAGGGAACAAGAUGGACAUAUGAAGUGCACCGCCCGCUAUGCGCUGAGAAAGGCAUACAGAUUGUCCCACCACUCCCGCCCGCAUCGGACUAUCAUCUCAAAAUAUUCAGUGCAACUGUCUCCAAAAAAGAAGGCAGUGUCUUGUCCUACGUGCAUGUGUUUUGGGAGUCUACCGAGGAGGAAGACAAGUUCAUGAUGCGCGUGUAUAUGCUGGUAGAAGGAGUGGUGCAUGCAUACCUCGGUCACAUGCAUCAAUGUUCUGCAUAUUUGCUCAGCAGAACCCCUGGUCGGUAACAAAAUCUUUAUGCCAAACACCAGUAGUAACAACAUUCUUUCAUUGGAUUUGAUGACCUCAAGUUUCUCCACAAUUCAACUCCCGCAAGGAGUGACGUAUCGCUGUUAUGAUAGCAUGUUAUCAUGGGAAGAUGACACUUCCAGUCUAUACCUCGUCCAUGUCGAGGAGUUCCAACUUCGCGCCUGGCUCUACAAGGGUCGCAACUGGUUACUUGUCGAUACCAUUUGCUUGCUUGAGAUGCUUGCUACUUUGGGGAUGUCAGAUCACACACUUGAGGAUGAAAGUAAUGCUGGUGUGCACAUAAGACAAGUGGGAGACAAUGGUCAGUUUGUACUUCUACAGAUAGGCCAAUGCAUAUUCAAUUUGGAUAUUAAGUGCAGGACAAUGUGUAAGGUGUAUGAGGAAACAACAAAUGAUCGACAUAUUGAUUCUAUCUAUCCUUUUAUGAUGAUCUGGCCUCCCACAUUCUCUCCCUCAAGGAUGACACUGCCAGGUCAGGAAAGUUGACAUGCUUGACGGUGUGACGAUCCUGCGGUCCGAGAAGGUCAAGGAUGAGAUCGUUCUUGAUGGCAACGACAUUGAGCUUGUCUCUCGCUCUGCUGCCCUAAUCAACCAGAAAUGCCACGUAAAGAAGGACAUCA